UUGUCAACCCUAGAAUAUCGCCGCAAUAUUGAGGUAUUUGGUCAAGAAUAUCGUGAUAUCUGAUUUUCUUCCUAUCACCCAGCCCUAUUAGAUCCUUAAACACA